GACGAACGCUGGCGGCGUGCUUAACACAUGCAAGUCGAACGGAAAGGCCCUGCUUUUGUGGGGUGCUCGAGUGGCGAACGGGUGAGUAACACGUGAGUAACCUGCCCUUGACUUUGGUAUAACUUCAGGAAACUGGGGCUAAUACCGGAUAGGAGCUCCUGCUGCAUGGUGGGGGUUGGAAAGUUUCGGCGGUUGGGGAUGGACUCGCGCCUCAUCAGCUUGUUGGUGGGGUAGUGGCUUACCAAGGCUUUGACGGGUAGCCGGCCUGAGAGGGUGACCGGCCACACUGGGACUGAGAUACGGCCCAGACUCCUACGGGAGGCAGCAGUGGGGAAUAUUGCACAAUGGGCGGAAGCCUGAUGCAGCAACGCCGCGUGCGGGAUGACGGCCUUCGGGUUGUAAACCGCUUUCGCCUGUGACGAAGCGUGAGUGACGGUAAUGGGUAAAGAAGCACCGGCUAACUACGUG
rnacentral:rRNA from 1 species